rnacentral:lncRNA from 1 species
ACAAUACUUAAUUGGUUCACCUAUUCAAAGAAUUAAAUCUUUGCUAUGUUAUGACACUACUCAUGUUCUCAAUUUGUGAAUAUUCAUCUCUCUAAUUGGCUUUUUGUGUUGGUUUUUUGCAGGAUCUAUGAAAGAGGUAGGUCAGUUUUAAUUUUUGGGUUCUCAAUCUUAGGUUUGGUUAUAUUUUUCUGUUUCUUUGCUGGUUUUUCUUCU